GAUGAACGCAGGCGGCGUGCAUAUACAUGCAAGUAGAACGCUGAAGCUUGGUGCUUGCACCGAGAGGGUGAGUUGCGAACAGGUGAGUAACGCGUAGGUACCUCCCUGGUAGCGGGGGAUAACUAUUGGAAACGAUAGCUAAUACCGCAUGACAACAGUUAUUGCAUGAUAACUGUUUUAAAAGGGGCAAUUGCUCCACUACCAGAUGGACCUGCGUUGUAUUAGCUAGUUGGUGAGGUAACGGCUCACCAAGGCGACGAUACAUAGCCGACCUGAGAGGGUGAUCGGCCACACUGGGACUGAGACACGGCCCAGACUCCUACGGGAGGCAGCAGUAGGGAAUCUUCGGCAAUGGACGGAAGUCUGACCGAGCAACGCCGCGUGAGUGAAGAAGGUUUUCGGAUCGUAAAGCUCUGUUGUAAGAGAAGAACGAGUGUGAGAGUGGAAAGUUCACACUGUGACGGUAUCUUACCAGAAAGGGACGGCUAACUACGUGCCAGCAGCCGCGGUAAUACGUAGGUCCCGAGCGUUAUCCGGAUUUAUUGGGUGUAAAGCGAGCGCAGGCGGUUAGAUAAGUCUGAGGUUAAAGGCUGUGGCUUAACCAUAGUACGCUUUGGAAACUGUUUAACUUGAGUGCAAGAGGGGAGAGUGGAAUUCCAUGUGUAGCGGUGAAAUGCGUAGAUAUAUGGAGGAACACCGGUGGCGAAAGCGGCUCUCUGGCUUGUAACUGACGCUGAGGCUCGAAAGCGUGGGGAGCAAACAGG
rnacentral:rRNA from 1 species